UACGGGGGGGGCAAGCGUUGUUCGGAAUUACUGGGCGUAAAGGGCUCGUAGGCGGCCAACUAAGUCAGACGUGAAAUCCCUCGGCUUAACCGGGGAACUGCGUCUGAUACUGGAUGGCUUGAGUGUAGGAGAGGGAUGCGGAAUUCCAGGUGUAGCGGUGAAAUGCGUAGAUAUCUGGAGGAGCACCGGUGGCGAAGGCGGCAUCCUGGACUACUACUGACGCUGAGACGCGAAAGCGUGGGUAGCAAACAGG
rnacentral:rRNA from 1 species